rnacentral:rRNA from 1 species
GACGAACGCUGGCGGCGUGCCUAAUACAUGCAAGUAGAACGCUGAAGAGAGGAGCUUGCUCUUCUUGGAUGAGUUGCGAACGGGUGAGUAACGCGUAGGUAACCUGCCUUGUAGCGGGGGAUAACUAUUGGAAACGAUAGCUAAUACCGCAUAACAAUGGAUGACACAUGUCAUUUAUUUGAAAGGGGCAAUUGCUCCACUACAAGAUGGACCUGCGUUGUAUUAGCUAGUAGGUGAGGUAAUGGCUCACCUAGGCGACGAUACAUAGCCGACCUGAGAGGGUGAUCGGCCACACUGGGAGUGAGACACGGCCCAGACUCCUACGGGAGGCAGCAGUAGGGAAUCUUCGGCAAUGGGGGCAACCCUGACCGAGCAACGCCGCGUGAGUGAAGAAGGUUUUCGGAUCGUAAAGCUCUGUUGUAAGUCAAGAACGGGUGUGAGAGUGGAAAGUUCACACUGUGACGGUAGCUUACCAGAAAGGGACGGCUAACUACGUG